CUAGGACUUUAUACGGACCAAUAAAGGACCGUAGACCACUAACAGUCGCAGGAGGGGUGCACGAGGCCAAUGUUGAAAUGCGGUGCGAAGUGGCACGAAUAGUACCCUGAUUCCAGACCCACCCCAAAAUCGGAAGAGCUCACG